rnacentral:lncRNA from 1 species
AUUUUUUGGUAGGAAUUGACAAGGUAAUUCUAAAAUUCAUAAAGGAAUUGAGAGCAUCCAGAACAGCCAAAAUUAAUUUGAAAAUGAAAAAAAUUGGAGGAUUUCCAUUAUCUGAGUUCAAGAUUUAUUAUCAAGCUACAUUAAUCAAGACAGUGUAGUAUUUACGCUAAGUUAUUAAGUUAUACAGAUCAAUGGAACUAACUAGGAUCUGGAAUUAGAUCCACACAUAUACAGUCAAUUUAUAUUUGACAAAGAUGCAAAGGCCAUUCAGUGGAGAAAGGACAGUCUUCAGCAGUUACAUAAGAACUACUGGAAUCCUUAUGCAAAUAAUGAAAUUCAAACCAUCCCUAACACCAUAGACACAAAUAGACAAACACUAACACAAAUUGAUUAUGGACCUAAAUGUAAAACCUGAAACGUUAAAUCUUUUAGAAGAAAACUUAGGAGAUUAUGUUUGUGACAUUGGGUUAGACAGAAUUUUUUAGAUACAACUCCAAAAGUGCAAUAGAAGAGAAAAAGAGUUGAUAAAUUGGACUUCAUCAGAAUCAACAAGUACUGAUUUUCUAAAGCUACUGUAAAGAUAAUGAAAUGACAACCACAGACUAUGAGAAAAUAUUUGAAAAUCUUGUAUCUGAUAAAGGACUUGUAUUCAUUACACAUAAAUAAGUCUCAAAACCCAAUAAUAAGAAAACAAUGAAGACAAUAACAAAAGCAGAAGAUACGAACAGACUCUUUACCAAACAAACAAACAAGACAUAUGAAUAGCAAAUAAAGUACAUGAAUAUACUCUAAACACCAUUAGUCUUCAGCGAAAUGCAAAUUAAAACCACAAUAAGAUAUUACUCCUACUUAUUAGAAAGGCUAAAUUUAAAAAGGCUGGUUAUACCAAUUGUUGGUGAGGCUUUGUCGGCAACUGAAGCACUCAUACACUGCUUGUGGGAAUUUAAAAUGAUACAGUCAUUUUGAAAAGCAAUUUUAUAGUUUUUCAAGAACUUUAAAUAUUUUUGCCAUAUGGUCCAGCCACAGUACUCCUAAGUAAAUAGAGCAUAUGUCCAUAUAAAACUUACAAAUGGAUGUUUAUAAUAUCUUAAUUUGUGAUAGCCAAAUAAUUUAAAUGUAUGAAUGUGUAAAAAAACUGUGUUACAAGCAUGCAAUAGAAUAACAGUCAACAAUAAAAAGGAACAACCUAUUGAUACAUGCAACAACAUGGAUAAAUUUAAAAGCGUUCAUAUCCGGGUGCAGUGGCGUAGUGGCGUAGUGUCCCAUGCCUGUAAUCCCAGCUCAGGAGGCUGAGGCAGGAGAGUUUCUUGAACCCGGGAGGUGGAGGUUGCAAUGAGCUGAGAUCAUGCCACUGCACUCCAGCCUGGGUGAUGAGAGCAAAACUCUCAAUCUCAAAAAACAAAACAAAACAAAACAAAAACAAACAAACAAACAAAAAAACAGCGUUUAUGAUGAGUGAACAAAAUGAAACAGAAAAGCAUAAGUAUUAUACUAUUCUACUUACAACAAUUCUAGGAAAUAAAAAUGUACUUAUAAUGACAUCAAGCAGACCAGUGGUUGUUUGAGAAUGGCAGGGGCUGGAAUAGGAGAGGAAGAUUAAGAAGGGCAUAAGGAAACAGGAUAAUGAACACAUUUAUUGUAGUGUGUAGUGUGGUUAUGGUUUCACAUUAAGUGUGAGUGUGCAUACAUGUCAAAACUCACAAAUGUAUGCAUUCAAUAGGUUCAGUCUACUGUUUGUUAAUUGAGCCUCAAUAAAUCUGUUUAAAAAGUAAGUGAAAAUAAAUUGGAUUAAUUAU